UACGUAGGCAGCGAGCGUUGUUCGGAGUUACUGGGCGUAAAGGGUGUGUAGGCGGUUUUCUAAGUUUGGUGUGAAAUCUCCCGCUCAACCGGGAGGGUGCGCCGAAAACUGGGAGACUAGAGUGCGGGAUGGGAGAGUAGAAUUCCUGGUGUAGCGGUGAAAUGCGUAGAUAUCAGGAGGAAUACCGGUGGUGUAGACGGCUCUCUGGACCGCCACUGACGCUGAGACACGAAAGCGUGGGUAGCAAACAGG
rnacentral:rRNA from 1 species